UUUUUCAUGAAUUAUUUGUUCCAAUAGCUUCUUUCUAUCAAUUAUUGAUAGAAAGAAAGUCUAAUCAAAAAAAUUUAAUUAAUGUUUUUUUGAAUAAUAAUUUUCAACGUUGUUUUUCUGCUUCAAAUGGUCAAUAGAUGGCGACUUAGGUCGAAAAUACAAAAUAAGUGAAUACAAAAACUUAAUGAAUCUGACCUGAUAAAUUUUAAUUUAAUUAAAUUUAACUGUGAAUUUAAAAAUAAAUUUUGUUUUAAUAUUGUUCAACUAAUCACACGGAUCAAGUUGAUACCUAAAUUAUGACAUUUCAACUGCUACUUAAAUUGUUCUAGAUAUUCUUAAAACUGAGACGUUAUUAAUUCGCAGCCAUGUGUUUUCUUGCCAACCAUUUUGGACCUUUGGACAAUCGCCAUAAUUUUGAAAAGGACUCUGGUCCAUGGAAAACAUUUUGAGGAGAAAAAUUUAUAGAGAAUAGCCCUUUAUUGGGAUUAGGCGAACAGAAUUUUGUGAAUUAAUUAAUAUCUCAUAUGUAAUUCGACCUCAGGGGAGAAAAAUUUAUUACUUAUUAUUUAUUAUUUUCUUCUCUUUUCUUCGUCCCUUAUUCCCUUCCUUGUCUCUUAUUUCCUUUUCCCUGGUACGGUUGUAUUUGCCGGAAACGAUGAAUUUUCAUUCAUCGAAGCCUCCCCUGAGGUCGCUGUUAAAGCUUAAAAAUAAAUACAAAAUAAGUGUGUGACUUACUGUA